GACCGGUAGUGGGGAAUAAGGACCGGCUUAACUACGUGCCAGCAGCCGCGGUAAUACGUAGGGUCCGAGCGUUGUCCUGGAAUUAAUGGGCGUAAAGAGCUCGUAGGCGGCGUGUCGCGUCUGCUGUGAAAGACCGGGGCUUAACUCCGGGUUCUGCAGUGGAUACGGGCAUGCUAGAGGUAGGUAGGGGAGACUGGAAUUCCUGGUGUAGCGGUGAAAUGCGCAGAUAUCAGGAGGAACACCGGUGGCGAAAGGCGGGUCUCUGGGCCUUACCUGACGCUGAGGAGCGAAAGCAUGGGGAGCGAACAGGAUUAGAUACCCUGGUAGUCCAUGCCGUAAACGUUGGGCGCUAGGUGUGGGGACUUUCCACGGUUUCCGCGCCGUAGCUAACGCAUUAAGCGCCCCGCCUGGGGAGUACGGCCGCAAGGCUAAAACUCAAAGGAAUUGACGGGGGCCCGCACAAGCGGCGGAGCAUGUUGCUUAAUUCGACGCAACGCGAAGAACCUUACCAAGGUUUGACAUCACCCGUGGACCUGUAGAGAUACAGGGUCAUUUAGUUGGUGGGUGACAGGUGGUGCAUGGCUGUCGUCAGCUCGUGUCGUGAGAUGUUGGGUUAAGUCCCGCAACGAGCGCAACCCUUGUUCCAUGUUGCCAGCACGUAAUGGUGGGGACUCAUGGGAGACUGCCGGGGUCAACUCGGAGGAAGGUGGGGACGACGUCAAGUCAUCAUGCCCCUUAUGUCUUGGGCUGCAAACAUGCUACAAUGGCCGGUACAAUGGGCGUGCGAUACCGUAAGGUGGAGCGAAUCCCUUAAAGCCGGUCUCAGUUCGGAUUGGGGUCUGCAACUCGACCCCAUGAAGGUGGAGUCGCUAGUAAUCGCGGAUCAGCAACGCCGCGGUGAAUACGUUCCCGGGCCUUGUACACACCGCCCGUCACGUCAUGAAAGUCGGCAACACCCGAAACUUGCGGCCUAACCCUUCGGGGAACGAGUGAG
rnacentral:rRNA from 1 species